CUUUGAGGUCAACUGAACGAUCUACAUGAGGAAGGUAUAUCUUGUUUAACUAAAUCUUUGUGUAAAUAAUAUUCAUUUUUAAACUUUUUUGUUCGUUAGGUGAAGAGCAUAUAUAAAGUUCUUAUGAAAGAAACGUUGGAGGAAUUCAGAUACUUCCUGUACAACAUGAACCAUUUACACCAAUUCCACCCUCAACUCAGUAAUGGAGCAGAGUGUGCAGCCUGCUACAAACUCGUCCGUAAGGUUUCCUCAGGCUAUUCAUGGGGAAAAUCAAAACAUACCACCUUCUUCCUUGAACAAGAAGAAGUUGAUGAAUACAUGAAAUCAUACAGUGGUGAUUCAAAAAAAAACUAAUGUGGAUUGCAGUGAAUUCCAGGCAGGGAAUAGUUUAAGAGCAAAAAAUAAGACAGCAAAGCUUUCCGAAACCGCUGUAUUUGGAUCAGCCU